GUCUACAGUCAUGCCACCCUGAACAAGCCCGAUGUCUGAUCUCAGAAACUAAGCAGGGUUGGGCCUGGUUAGUACUGGGAUGGGAGACCAUUUAGGAAGUCCAGGUGCUGUAGCCA
rnacentral:rRNA from 1 species